rnacentral:rRNA from 1 species
AACGAACGCUGGCGGCAUGCCUAACACAUGCAAGUCGAACGAGACCUUCGGGUCUAGUGGCGCACGGGUGCGUAACGCGUGGGAACCUGCCCUUAGGUUCGGAAUAACUCCCCGAAAGGGGUGCUAAUACCGGAUAAUGUCUUCGGACCAAAGAUUUAUCGCCUUUGGAUGGGCCCGCGUUGGAUUAGCUAGUUGGUAGGGUAAAAGCCUACCAAGGCGAGGAUCCAUAGCUGGUCUGAGAGGAUGAUCAGCCACACUGGGACUGAGACACGGCCCAGACUCCUACGGGAGGCAGCAGUGGGGAAUAUUGGACAAUGGGCGAAAGCCUGAUCCAGCAAUGCCGCGUGAGUGAUGAAGGCCUUAGGGUUGUAAAGCUCUUUUACCCAGGAUGAUAAUGACAGUACCGGGAGAAUAAGCUCCGGCUAACUCCGUG